GAUGAACGCUGGCGGCGUGCCUAAUACAUGCAAGUCGAGCGAAUGGAUUAAGAGCUUGCUCUUAUGAAGUUAGCGGCGGACGAGUGAGUAACACGUGGGUAACCUGCCCAUAAGACUGGGAUAACUCCGGGAAACCGGGGCUAAUACCGGAUAAUAUUUUGAACUGCAUGGUUCAAAAUUGAAAGGCGGCUUCGGCUGUCACUUAUGGAUGGACCCGCGUCGCAUUAGCUAGUUGGUGAGGUAACGGCUCACCAAGGCAACGAUGCGUAGCCGACCUGAGAGGGUGAUCGGCCACCCUGGGACUGCGACACGGCCCAGACUCCUACGGGAGGCAGCAGUAGGGAAUCUUCCGCAAUGGACGAAAGUCUGACGGAGCAACGCCGCGUGAGUGAUGAAGGCUUUCGGGUCGUAAAACUCUGUUGUUAGGGAAGAACAAGUGCUAGUUGAAUAAGCUGGCACCUUGACGGUACCUAACCAGAAAGCCACGGCUAACUACGUGCCAGCCGCCGCGGUAA
rnacentral:rRNA from 1 species